ACACAUAGAGACGACAUGAGAGUAGGGGUUCCAGGGCUAGGGGAGGGUGGCAGGGAGCCAGGAGCCUUGGUUUAGUGGGGACAGAGUUCAGUUUUGUGACUGUAAGGCUCUGGAGACAGACAGUACCGAUAGUCACACUGUGCUGUGGAGGUGCUUAACAUGGAACCAUGCCCUUCAAGAUAACUGGUUGUAUACAGUUUCCUAGGUGCAGGAGCACAUUCCUGUAAUACCAGCACUUCUGGAAGUCUGAGGCAAGAUGAUUGAAAUUGGCGAG